rnacentral:lncRNA from 1 species
CCCUGGAAGUAACUUCAGCCUUGACCUCCUCCUCAUCCUCUUCAUUUUUGUGUUUCUUCUUUUUGUCCUCCUUGUCUUUCUUCUUCUUUCCUUCUUUUUUGUCAUCUUUUUGCUCAUCGCUCUUCUUCUCUUUUUCAUCAUCACCGUAUUUGUGUUUCUUCUUUUUAUCAUCCUUGUCUUUCUUCUUCUCCCCUUCUUUUUUAUUGCCGUCACCUUUUACUUCAUCACUCUUCUCCUUUUCGCCAUCACCACCCUUGUGUUUCUUCUUUUUAUCGUCUUUCUUCUUCUCCCCUUCUUUUUUAUCAUCGUCACCUUUUACCUCAUCACUCUUCUUCUCUGUUUCAUCAUCACCGCCCUUGUGUUUCUUCUUUUUAUCGUCCUUUCCUUCAUCCUUACGCGUCUCCUCUGCUUCACCCUUUGAUUCCUUUACAUUAUCUUCAAUGUCAAUCUCCCUGGAAGUAACUUCAGCCUUGACCUCCUCCUCAUCCUCUUCAUUUUUGUGUUUCUUCUUUUUGUCCUCCUUGUCUUUCUUCUUCUUUCCUUCUUUUUUGUC